ensembl:lncRNA novel transcript
AGUGUGGUACUGAAGAUGAGAUGAGCUUAUAUCCCCUUGUGUGUGCUCUGCGUUUUAAUGAUAGCUUGGCGUGCAGGGGCAGAGGCCUACAGCUUUAAAAAGUGGAUGUGCUUUAUCAUUUUAACUCAAGAUGACGACUCAUUUUUUUCCCUUUGUGCAGUUCAGGAAACCAGGCUGAAGAAUGUGAAAUACAUCGCCCAAAGUCAGACACGGAGGAACAACUGCUUCGGAGCUAGCAAUUUCCUGAGCUGGAAUUGCACCACUGGCCUGUAGAAUCCAAACUGUUUUCUACCAGAACAACUCCUUCCCUGCAGGAAGCAGGGUGUGCACAGCUGAACCCUGGUCUGAGAAGGUUGAAGUCACUGACUCAGCCCCAGCAAGGAAGUUGCCCUUCGACUUCUGACCUCUGGCCCUGUUUGAAAACCAACUCAAAUCGUUUUUCUUUUUCAGAAGCUGCUUGCCUCCGCUUCACCUUCCACCAUGAUUGUAAGUUUCCUGAGGCCUCCCAGUCAUGCUUGCCGUUAAAACUGUGGAACUGGCCUGAAAUAACUCGGUGACUAAGGAAUUUCAUUGAGAAAAAAGACAAAAACAAAACAAAUACUUUGUCUUUUGGAAUAAAUGAAUCCUUACAGAAGAGUGGUAAAAUGAACACGAGUUUGGAUCUGUGGAGCCAUUAUUAAGUAAUGAAGACUGAAUUCACCUUCUUUGGGCUGAAGCGAAAUAGAGAUGAAAAUCCCUUCAAUAAUAGAUAUCUACCCACUCCAUGGCCUCUACACCCGCUACUACCCACAUCUGCUGCACAUGAUGGAAACAUUGUUAUUCAUUUGGUUAAUCAUCAAACUCCCAUUGAACACAUACUCCAUUAUGCACUGAAUUAUUACAUUCUGUAAUUCCAAGUAGAAGAGAAUCUAAGAGCUUGUAUUCACAAAUAACUUGUCUGAAGAAAUAACAUCAAAAGAAUAUGGCAUCUCAAAUGAUUAUGAAAAUCACCCUUCAUAGAAGAUGGCGGAUUAUGUUUGUUGCAUUGUUUCUGUAAUGGGACUGAUAGUUUGUGCUGAAUAAUUCAUGCUAUUUGCCCAAGCCCCUUGAAAGUGCUGGCAUAUCUCUGAGGGACAGCUGGCUGAGAUUAUGGGACAUACUAUUGCCACAGACUUGAAUAUUGCCAAAUGGCCUCUUGGAGAUUUUUUUUGGUAGUGCAGUGUUUGCAAUGCUGUCUGUGGAAUUAUGCAGACCUGGGUUCAAAUUCUAACUCUACCCUUUGACUUGGACAAGGGAUUUAACCUCUUUUAGUCUCAAUUUCCUUGUAUGUAAAAUGAAAGUAGUAAUCCAUCCUUAUUGGGAUUUAUACAUAUAAUGUUAUAGGAACAGAAAUUUCAUUGUUUUAAUGAAAACUCCUUUUUCAAGGAGGUUGGGUCUGGUUAAAGGGAAUGUCCCUUUCCUAUUUAGUGCCUUGGGUUUGGUUGUGAAAACCUAGUAAGAGGAGUUGAGGGGUAGGUGGGUACUGGGAGAGCUCCAUUCUUUUUAGAAGAAGAAGAAUGGGGUGAGGAGAAGAGAAGGGAGGAGAGAGGCAAGAGGAGUCAGCCAAAAGGAGUGAAGCAGGAGGGCGAUGAGGCCAACAAAUUGGCAAGGUGGUGGUUGUGGGAUAA